UUAUGGGCACAACUGUAUAUACACAGUAUAUACCCCUUAAAGCAAGAUUUAUGAGAUGUAUGCAUUGGAGAUAUUAUUAACUUGAUAUUCCAUUUUUAGGUACCUACUUAUGAAGUAUUUCACUGACAUAUGUCAUAGUUGUGACAAUUUGGAGGACACGCAGCCAUGCACUUCAGUCCCUGCCCCUGUAGGAGGGACAAUAUCACGUUCCAGCUCGGACUAGCAGUUCUGCCAUUUGGCACCGGGCCGGUAGCUGAUUACGGCUUUGGUUAUAAAGGAACAGGAGUUGAUGAUGGUGGCGCUCUGUCAUGGUCCGUGUGAUCAGCGGGUGUGGGAAGAGGUGUCCCUCUACUCAUCUUGGAGGUCUGGAAGAAAGAGGCUUUCAUAACCCGGAGAUCCAUGGGACACCAACAUUCUCUAAGUAGUAAUGAUGAGCUAAGAUGACUUCAACGCUUUCUGAUUUGUAUAAAUAAAGCUUAAAAUGUUUAAA